UGUGAUAUUAAUAAGUAUUGAUGAAUUGUGCCAAGUAAUGAGAAGAAAAUCAUAAGCUAUCUCCAUGGGGACUUCUGCAUUUGUUUCCCUAGGCUAUACUCUUACUCACUGUUGCUGGCAUGUAGGUUCAACCAAAAAAAGUGUAAAAUUGCAUUUAUCCUGUAUCAAAUUAAGAUGUCUGAAUUCCAGGGUCGGUGCUGGCCAUGAUGGACGGUUGAACAGAUAAACCAUGGCACCGCUUAGGCAAGGUCGUCAAAUUAGCUGAUAAAUAUGGAUUCCCAACAUAUAUUUUUGAGAAUAUUUGAUACUUAUUAGUCAUUCUUCUGCAUCGAGCAGAAUGCCACCGCUGCCCAGGGCCAUGUGAGUCUUUCUGGGCAUCAAUGUGCUAUAUCGUACAUCCUCCUCUUGCAGCUAUUAAACUGGCUCAUGGUGUCGAUAGCCUUAUAUUGGAAAUUAAGAAUGGCUCUCUAUUUUUGGCGGAACAGGAAGGGAGCAAGCAGGAAACAGUGAGAUCGUUCGGAAUGGUGGUUCUGCAACAAUACAACAUUUCUUUGUCCUAGAUUUGUUAAUGGAAUUGGAAAAGAGAUGUUGGUGUUGUCCCUGUCUAAUAGAUGACACAAUGUACAUGUUGGUCUGGGCUGGAGCAUUGGAGCUCUUGCGCGGCUGCGCCCCAAAGUCGUGCAAAUGGCUUCUACUGUCAUUAUUCUGCAUCGAGCAGAAUGCCACCGCUGCCCAGGACCAUGUGAGUCAUUCUGGGCAUCAAUGUGCUAUAUCGUAGAUCCUCCUCUUGCAGCUAUUAAACUGGCUCAUGGUGUCGAUAGCCUUAUAUUGGAGAUUAAGAAUGGCUCUCUAUUUUUGGCGGAACAGGAAGGGAGCAAGCAGGAAACAGUGAGAACUUUCGGAAUGGUGGUUCUGCAACAAUACAGCAUUUCUUUGUCCUAGAUUUGUUAAUGGAAUUGGAAAAGAGAUGUUGGUGUUGUCCCUGUCUAAUAGAUGACACAUUGUACAGGUUGGUCUGGGCUGGAGCAUUGGAGCUCUUGCGCGGCUGCGCCCCAAAGUCGUGCAAAUGGCUUCUACUGAAUAUUGCAAAUUGGGAGCUAUUCACAAGUCUUAUUUAUUCUGGUAUGGAGGUGUUAACCGCACACCACCAUUAGCAGGUCAAGUAACUCUCUGAACUUAUGUCAUUAGUACUGGAUUGGGUCUUUUAUUUUCCGUCACUGCCUGUCACGUCACAUCCUCACCAUCUCUGCACAGCACCUGCAGUACGCCACUCGCUAGCCUUUCCACGAUGACAGCGACAUCGGCUGUAUCUUGGAUGGGUUUUCUGCUAUCCUCACCUCAUGAGGCCAUUAACUAGCUUGAUGAGGCGGGCAUCAGCCGAAGGUUGGAGCCAACAGAGCCAACAUUAGGUGCUAUGGCGUGGCCUUCUUCUCUUCUCAGGAAAUCAAGUUUUUGCGAACGGAACAUAGCUUGCUUACUCUCAAACACGUGUAGAGUUUCCCCUCUUUCAUUCUAUGGCUGAUCGCUGGCAAAGCUCUGAAAUCAUUUGGAUUGUGGUUAUUCAAGCUAUGGUACCAGGAAGGAUUUGAGGUGGUAGAAAUGGCAGGACCACGAUUGUCGCAAAAAUGGUGAGAUAAGGCCAGCAAUCUGCUCUGUUCUCAACAGUGUCUUUGAGUACCUGCCAAAUGGGUCUCUUUACGAGCAUCUUCAAGGUAAGAUGGGAACCAUCGUGC